GCCACACCACACCCGUGCCCCUCCCCCUCACUAAACUCCAGGCCAGGGUUUCCCACCUGCAGGAUGCUAAUGCCAGGGGAAAGGAAAGGAGAAAGAGAUGGCACGGGACUGGAACGGGACUCUGGGCAGAGGUGGGAGGGAAUGGAAAGGGGAGGAGAUCGCAUUGCCUGGCAACCGUCCCGGGGCACGUGCACUGGUGACAUCAUCCCAGGCCACCUCGAACACAGACCUUUGACUCCUACCAGGGCGAAGAAGCUGCUGGCUGGCUAAGUUUCCUGAGAAAAUAGCUUUAGGAAUUCUAGCAAUCAAAAAAGGAGACGAAGGAGGGAACCCAGGCGUCCUGCCUUUAUCUCUAUUAACCCCAGCAGAACUAAUCCUAGGGAAUCCGGUCAUUCGCCUGCCUCCUCCUCUCAGCCUCCAGCCUUGACCUCCCAACCCACAUUUCUGACUGUCCCGACACGCCCCUCGGAAAUACUGUGCCUUCUUUCUUCUGGGCUUGAUCCCUGGUUAGGGGCGGGAGACUAAGGACGGGGCACCAACCAAGUCCCGCGGGACUCCGUCUGCUAUCUGCAGGAUCCCUUGUGCCCCAGCUGGCCGCCAGCCGGAAUCUGUCUGGGUCCCCAAUUCUCCCGCCCCUCCCGCGCUGUUCCAGGGCGGAGUCUGUGGAGUUGAAAUCAGGACACGCGGAGAGGAAGAGUUAUAUAACCCUCUGGAGAAGCAGAGAAGGACGAGUGGAGACGGGGACAGACAGCCCGAAAGGAGCCAAGGGAGGUGUAAAGAACGCCAGAGCGUGCUAGAAGGAAAUGUUAAGGAAGGGAAGGGGAAGGCUUGGUUUGCUUAUCAAAAAGCAAGAAUUUACAAGAAAAAAUGGGCAUCAUGACCCUCUGGCCAGGAAAGUCACCUGGACCACAAGGGGUUUCUCACAGUGUCCUGCCCUGUCACUAACUGCAGCUAGGCCUGGGAGGGUUAAGCCUCGGGAAGGGGCGCUUGUACCCACUCCCUUUCUUUUGGGGAAACAACCUAAGCUAGUGCUCGGGAAAGCCGCGACUGAGCCUAGGGGGCCCGGAAACCACAGCUCCGCCCAGCCCACCUGGGAGCUUGGGGCGCCAGCUGGGGGUGGCAGUGAGGAACACAGGUAGCGGGCCCUCCCUUGAGAGGCUGACAUUAACAGUCGACACCCGGCUAAAGAGCGCAAACCCACCCAGACGUCUAGGCCCGCAGGGGUUGAGAAACACAACCCUGGACUAGUUUGCAAACACAGACUGACGACCUGAGGCGGGGGGUGGGGGAUGGGGGUGUGCGGAGGGAAAAGAGACACACACACACACACACACACACACACACACACGACUCGCCGCGCAGGCGCAAGAGACUGUCUGGGCUCGUGCAGUGGAAGGGGUUGUACAGGGAACGAAGCGUGUGGGAGUGCACGUGCGGAUCCUGGGUAGCCACCGCCUCCCCCCCUUCCACCUCCUCCCUCUCCCUCUUUCCGGCUCUCUAUAAUGACAGCUCCCCAUUGGUCACUAGGGCCCUGACGUAGUCGACGUCCGCUAAAGCGGAUUGGACUGGAAAGGGGGAGUUUGGGAAUCUGGCGGUGGACGUUUGUUAGCCUGUUACUCUGGCAACGGAGCAAACAACCCUGGCAAGCAACUGAGAUUCGACCUGCCUUCCUCUGAAUGACCACAGGGUUCACUGCCUCAAUUAAUUACUUCUCUUCUUUUCUCUCGGAGUUCUCAUCGCCAGAAACUAGGUGUUCUGCCUUCGACCUAACCCCACACUCCAGCCCCAAGACACAAUCACAGACCACAAGAAGCUGUAGUUUAGUGACCAACUUAACCCACAUGCCACUUCAACACUGUUUAUUCUAGGCCGAGAAAGCAUAGUCUCUCGCCCUGUCUCUAGCUUCUGCGCUUUACCCAUAUGCUUACUAUGUCCUGAGCCGGGGGCGGGUGCCAGACAGAUGACAGGGAAUCAAUCAAGGGUGAACUGAAAGGUGCGUGUCACAGCUAUAUAUCCCCCCAACCCGCAUGGCCUUCAGCUCUGGUGGGCAUCUCUUCUUCGCCAUCUCGUGGCUACUACGUGGGAAAGGUUCAGCAUGGAGAAAGGGCCAGAGCCCUAUGAAAGCUAGGGAACUGAAGACGGAAAAGUGAGGGCACCGGGGACUAGGGGAACGAACCAGGCGAGGCCGAGAGCCGAAGGUGCAGUGGAGUGGGGUGAGAUGGAAAAGCUAUCGCUUCUAGAAGGAUGGUAAAAGUUGAGGAUACAUACACAUCUCCCCGGAGAAAAGAGCUGGAGGGAGGAGCCUUCAAGUGGCCCAGUAACUGGAGGUUCACUUUGCCUGAUCGCUUCUGAUCUCAGUGGUCCAGCGCCUAGCCGUUGCUGUCGUCCACAGUGGAAACUAUAAACUCCCAGGAGAGGCUGUCCACUGAAAUCUGUGGAUUGAAGGCGACAAUGAAGGAGGCCCCCCAAGCAAGAGAAGGAAUACACGUUCCUAGGCUGCCUCCCACCUCUGCAUGCUCACGUUGUUUUGGCGAGCCGCAGACUGCAGUACCGCAGUGAGGAAGCCAGUGGGGAAUGUGAAGCCAGACAGCCAGAAGAGCACCGGAGGGCGGGCUCGACUGGCCCAUGUUUCAAACUGUUCCACACGCACAGCCAGGUCCCGGGUCCAUGACGCCAAGGGCUUUUGCGAAGGAUAUACCUGAAAAAGGAAGGAGUGCGUGUGUUCUUCUGUGCGGAAUGCUUUCCCUGCUUGUUGACAUGACGAUGAGGCCCUGGAUGCCCUUCUCCAAGUCUGUCAGGGAGAACCUGAGUGGAAGGAGGAGGACCACAUUGAGUGGGGAGGGGUCAAGAGCCAGCAUCUUUCGGGUCCCCUCAUAGUCGAUCAUCUCAGGGAUCUUCUGCUUCACAUCCGCAGCCAGCUCUAGGACCUGGGGAGGCAGAGCGUGGGGCCAGGCUACCCUUCCUCAACAUGCCCAUUCCCUGAGACAGUCUCUCUUCCUACCUUCUCUUCUCGGCUCUGGCCGCCAAUCCUGGUGGGUGUAAUUUGGGGUUGCAGGGAAAGCAGGGUCUCAAAGAGAGUCCGGGCCUCGGUGAUCUGGGAGGCCACGUCGGCAUUGGGGUGUUGGCCAAAGGCCUCAGGGGGGUCCAUGCUGGGCAGCAUGCUGAUAUAUUCUUUGUAAGAGACCAAGCUCCCGUCCUUGGGGAUGUAGUAAGUGUCCAGUACAGACAACCUGGGCAGUCACAGCACAGUGUCAGCAGACUACAGGACCUCAGCUUCCACGCCCAGCCUGGACCCCAGGCUCAGUGCAUUCCCAUUUGUCCAGCUAUGGCUACAGCUCAUGCUCUGCUUCCCAAUUCACAAAUUCCAUUUCCUUCCAACCUCCUAGUCUCUGCGCUCAUGUGUGCACACACAUGUACACACACACUCACACACAAAACCAUUCACCCUGGCCUCUGGUCGGCUUAUACCCUUUCACCCCUUACUCAGUGCCACCCCCCUCACCGGUAGGAGGGAGUUGUUAGGCUCAGGUCAGAGAAAUAAUCAUUGAUAUAGGUGGUGAGCAGGCGCCGAUCCCAGUCAUCCGUGACAUGUCCCCCAUAGUUGACACCGGCGAUGAGGUAUUUGAGUGCGUCCCAGGGAGUCUCCUCAUACUCAUCCAGAUAGAGGCUCAGCAGGUUCUCGGACACCUGUGUGCAGUCCCCCAAUGCCAUAUAGUUAUGGCAAGAACUCUCCUAGUCCGGGCUUAACAUCAGCUUCCUGGCAGCCAAUAUUCCCACAAAAGAGCCAUGGGGCAUGAAGCAUGAGAAGAAAGGAGGCAUCUGGUUAGCACAAACCUCAAAGUCAGAGUCGUUGAAGCCAUAAAUAAUAUUCCAGCCAAGCUGUAAAAAUUUCUUGCGCUCCAGCAAUAUGGAGUGGAAGAAGCAGAGAGCAAACAGCAGCUUCUUAUACUUGGCAGGUUUGGAGCAGUGAGUAAACUGUGCCUCUGUCAUCAGUUGAUACAGACGGGUCAUGUUGGCCUUGAGACCCUGAGGACAAGGAACUACAGAGUGAUAUUUGUCACGCUCAACCCUGCCACCAGCAGUAUCACAUUGGGGCAGUUGUGGGGGAGGCCCUGCACAAAGGCCCUGGCUGGGGAGUGAAAGGAUGCUGAACACAUCUAGCCUCUGAUCUGUAUGUCCAGACAGAUGCUCAUUCACAGGGUGGGUGCCUCUCUACACUGACUGUGGAUACCCCUAAUAAACCUACGCUCUCCCUUACCACUGUUACCACCAUCAUCACCACUGCCACCAUCAGCAGCAGAAUUUAUUUGCAGGGAGCUAGUACUGGACAUGGAACCUUGGGCUUCAACGCGUCAGGCAUGACUCUGCCACUGAGCUACGUCCUCAGCUGUACCCCCUUCUGUUUUGGAGACAAGUUCUUAUUGUGUAGCUCUGGUCGGUCUGGAAUUGCUAUGUAGACCAGGUGGACCUGGAACUCAUAGACAUCUUCCUGCCUUCUUGACAGUACUAGAAUUACAGAUGUGUGCCACAGAAACCAGCCCUUCCUCCGUGUUAAACUCUCAAUCAUAAUGUCCUCCAUGAAAGAGCCAAUUUAAUUUGUGAGUGCCAGAAAAUAUGAAUAAAGACAGAAAUGUACACUUACAA